UACGCGUUAAGCGUUGACAAACCAGUCGCACUGAGACAGUGCAGUUUAUUUGAACUAUAUUACGUUAUUACGUACAGUUUUCAGUUUUGUGGUAAAAAUAUGUGAAGUACUUCAAGUGUCAAGUGUAUGGAUACAUCUAGGAAGAGUCCAUAAAGUUUCAAAAGCCAAAUGGUAUCCUUCCUUCUAACCGCAAAAGUUAUCGUUAAACCAACACCCGUUGGCUCUAAAGGCGACUGCUGGUAGAUGGGAAGCACAGUGAUAUUCCCGGUGGUUGAAAAGGUGGAAGGUGCACAAGGGAGUAAAUUACACGCAGUGGUCCAGAAAUUCUUUUUUAACACUUCCAAUAUCAAAUACACGUCACAUCAAAAUCACUAUACACGUUAUCAACACUUUGUUGACCGGCAAUUUUACCCAGAAGUUAUCUCAUGUCACCGGCUGUUAUUUCAUAAUUGAAUGUGGAAGUGGAAUAGCUAAUGCAACUGCAAACACAUGUUAACUCGUGACAGGCGGUUUGUAAUUCAUCCCCUGACGAGCGCGUUUCCUAUGGAUGCUGAUGUAUCUAAGCUACUGGCAUCAACUAUACCUUCAACGUACCAGGAGUAGCAGUAGCUGUAAAUCGUGCGGCAAA